ACUGCAGGCCUCUCCUCCGAGAACAGAGGCCAGGUCAUGACUCACUGGCUUCCUGCAACCUGAGGAUGGCCCAGCCAGAGGACAAGGCACCUGAAGUCCCCACAGACGGGGUGAGGCUGGUCCCACCACAGGUGAACAAAGCAGACAGGACCCCUCUAGGGGUCCUCAGCACCCUAGAGCCACUUAUUCGCCUGCAGAGGACAUGGGGGGUGUGGAAUGUGCCAGAGCUGGAUACCCAGGAUGCGGAGGCCCUUGUGGGGCUGUGGCCACUAGGGGUGUGUCCCUGGAAUCCUCCAACCUCUGCAUGCCAGACCUGCCCCAUCUCCUGGCUUUUCUAUCAGCCAGCAGGUACAGGUCACCCAUCUGAGGCACUAAGGGGAACCCUUCCCUAAGACACCCCACUGACACUGCGGCUCCUACCUCUUUAUUCUCAGGGAUGUUCUGCCCAGAACCCUGCUCUUGCCCCCUCCCACUCUAGGGCCCAGAGAUGAACACACAGGUGAGGCAUGGUUCUCUAAAGAGGGCACAGCCAACCUGCCAAUUUCCUUGCUCCAAGGGAAUGAAUGGGGCUUUGGGGCCCAGACUACUGGGUUUGAGGGGAAUAUAGAACUGGAGACUAGAGAGAGCUGAGGGCCUGGACUUUGUAGUCCCAGAGGGAGGAGGGGAUGGGGGCCUGUAUUCCUAGGUCCUAACAGAGGAGGGGAUUGGAGGAGGAAGGAACUGGGGGUCCCGGACGCCUGGGCCUAAGUGAGAAGGGGACUGGGGGCCUGGACUCCUGGGUCUGACUGAGGAGGGGCCAGGAGCUAAGCCUCAGCACCUCCAGCAAUGAAGCUGGGAAGUAAAUCUCCUGGCGCCUUGAGGGGACCAGGGUUGGUCCCUUGGAUACCUAGGACACCUUCUCACUUCUGCUGGCCCCAGAUCCUGUGCAGAUCGGCAGGGUCCAACAGGACACCCCAGGGAAGAUGCUUUUCAUUGUGAACCAGCUCUACCUGGAGACACACAGAGGCUGGGGGAGGGAGCAGACCCCUCAAGAAACAGAGCCAGAGGCUGCGCAGAGACGUGAUCCAGCCCCCAGGAACCCUGCGCCUCACGGGGUCUCCUGGGUGAAAGGCCCGCUCAGCCCGGAAGUGGACCAUCCUGGGCCGUCUCUCGCCAGCCUCCUGGAAGAGGAGGAGGAAGACCUUGAAGGGAAGGAGGAAGGAAGGGAGGACGACCCUGAAGAGGAAGGCCCUGAGGACGUGCUCACCAUUCACGUCCAGUCUCUGGUCAGGGCCCGAAGCAGCUACGUGGCCAGGCAGUACCGAAGCCUUCGGGUGCGCAUCGCCUCAGAUUCUGGGGGUCCCCACGGGUCUGGGGACCCGGCCACGGAGCUGCUUCAGGAUGUGCGGCACCUCCUUACUGACCUCCAGGAUCACCUGGCAAAGGACUCCUACAUCAGGGCUGUCUUUGGAAGCAGGAGUCCUGGGGUCCCCAAGAAGGACGAGGAUCCAGGCCCCGCGCUGGAGACGGCGGUGUGCCAGGCGGUGCUGGCGCCCCUGAAGCCGGCCCUAUGGACACGACUCCGCACACUCCGAGCACCGGAGCUGCGGCGGCUGCGGCGGCGACAAACAGCCCUGCGGGCGGGGGCGGGGCCUCCGGGGGCUCAGGGGCCGGGACCGGAGGGGCAGAGCCCCGCCCCCGCCUUGCGUAGCCGCAUCCACGAGCGCCUUGCGCACCUCCACGCUGCCUGCGCCCCGCGCCGCAAGGUGGCGCUCCUCUUGGAGGUGUGCAGAGAUGUCUAUGCGGGCCUGGCUCGGGGCGAGAACCAAGAUCCCCUGGGGGCCGACGCCUUCCUGCCGGCGCUGACCGAGGAACUCAUCUGGAGCCCGGACAUUGGGGAGACGCAGCUGGACGUGGAGUUUCUUAUGGAGCUCUUAGAUCCAGAUGAGCUGCGGGGAGAGGCUGGGUACUACCUGACCACGUGGUUUGGGGCACUGCACCACAUUGCCCACUACCAGCCCGAAACAGACCGCGCUCCCCGGGGGCUCAGCUCCGAGGCCCGCGCCUCCCUGCACCAGUGGCACCGCAGGCGGACACUGCACAGAAAGGAUCAUCCCAGAGCCCAGGUGACUGCCCAUCUGGGUGCAAGUAGAAGGGAGGGUGAGACCUGGUGCCCUUCUGACCCAGCUCCCACCUCUCCCCACAGGCCAACCUGCCCUUUAAGGAGCCAUGGGCAGAAGAGACUGUGCCAGGGACCAGUGACAACUAGGGGUUUCACACCUCUCCGCACACCCCUCCGUUCACGCCUGUAAUCCCAACAUUUUGGGAGGCCAAGGUGGGGGGAUUGCUUGAGCCCAGGCGUUUCAGACCAGCCUGGGCAAAACAGUGGGACCCCCAUCUCUACC
rnacentral:sRNA from 1 species